ensembl:lncRNA
CCUAUCUCCCUGCUCAAGGCAGGAGACCCUCUACCAUUCCAGACAAGGGGCUGUCCAGUCUCUCUUUGAAGGCCUCCAGUGAUGGAGCCCCCACAACCUCUGGAGGGAAGCCGUUCCACUGGUCAAUUGUUCUCACUGUCAGGAAAUUCCUCCUUAGUUCUGGGAUGGCGGUUCUAACUCUUCAAGAAGUAGAGCAGAAUUUAUAAAAAGGUAGAAAACAUAUUAAAAAGAAAGAGAAGCUUAUAAAAAUACAUACAAAAAUCAAUGAAAAUUUUAAAAACCACACAAAAAUAUAUGUAUUAAAAUGUAAGAAGAGAGAGAGAGAGAGAGAAUCAGAGGUGGCAUUCAGCCGGUUCGCACCUGCUCAGGAGAAACCGGCAGCGAUAAUUUGGCGGGGAUCUCCGAACAGGUAGCGACUUCUGGCUGGCCACGCCCCCGAACCGGUUCCUGGUGGCAGCUCGCUCACUUGCCCCGCCCUACGCUCGCCCCGCCCAGUCACUCCUCACACUCCCCACAAUGGGUCCUCGUGGCUUAACCUGCUUUCCAACAUGAUGCCUGGCCCUACGUCCCAACUGAGCACCUCUGAUCUUCCUGCUGAAAGACCAGAGUCUCUCCAGGUUGCGUCUCUGGGCCCUGCUGUGCCUGAGCAAAGUGGGAAGUCUUCUCCUCCUUGGCUGUUUGGGGCUCAUUUUGAGGAUGAAAUCCAGAAAUCCAGAUGGAGGAGGGAGUCUGCUGGCCCAAUGCCUGCCAGCCUUCCUGAGGAGCCAGCCGCCAUGUCCUUCAUGGGCCAGAGCUUGCGACCAUCGGAGCUCCACCUCGGACCCUGAUGGAUGCCUCCCUCCUGGCGCUUCCCUUCCAGACAGCCAGGGUCUUCCUCGGCAGCAUUGAGAAGAGUCGCCUGCAGUGCACCUCAGCUGAUUCACCCUUUCUGGACCUAUGGAAAGUUUGGUAUUCUUCUACAAUAGAAAACAGGCUUUGUGGUGACUGGGAGCCGACUUCUGAGCUCAAAUCUCCAAUGGAGCAACUCGACUCUUCAAAGAGCUCCAGGAAACACUGCAGCUUCUGUUUCGAAUUUGGACAGAAUCAGGGUAAUGAAAUGUGUUGAAAUCUUCUCUUAAAACAAAUGAUGGGACAUUCAGAUUUGUUUAUUGCAGGCCGGAAGUCAUUUACACGCAAGAUAAAGUAUGAGUGGUGAGGUGGCCUAGAGGUGGAACUCUGGUCUCACAAUCAGGAGGCUGUGAGUUCUAUCUUAGGUGGAGGCAGAUGUUGCUCUCUCUGGGAACACUGAGAAUAUUAUCUGCCUGACAAAACUCCGCAUCGGUGACAGGAAGGGCAUCCGGCCAUUAAAACACUCUGCUAGAUCCAUUCAGUUGCCCAGAUUCCACCCCUCCAGGGAUUAUGAGGUCAUUAAAUGAAGAAUUACCUUUGCUCAAAACUGGAAACAAGAUGACACUCACUUGGACGUAAUGGUAAUAAGAAAGAUCUUUGAGUGUGCAGAGAUGGAUAGGUUAACUAUGGAGUUAAAAGACAGAGAAGAAACGGAAUGCUAUAAGAUCUGGAAUGGAUGGUGCCAGUGGUUAGAGAACAGACGUAAAGUUGUUACAGGAAGAAUAUGUAGGAGGUAUAGUAAAAGGAGGAAGUAUUGCAUAUAUAUUUGUAAAUAUUGUAAAUAUUGUUAUAAGUUAAAAGUAGGAAAAAACUAUAUAACAUAAUAGAGCAGUAAAAAUUAUAUCACUAUGAGUGAAUACCAUAACCUGAACGCUGUAAUGAGUGUAAAUGUGAUGUUUUAAUUUGAAAUACGACUAAUAAAAAUUUACUUUGUAAAAAAAAAAUCAAGAUGAGAUGAUACUAUGGCACCCUUGGUGCUCUCUGAGCUUGGUUGUUUUCUUGCAGUCAUUUCAUGUUGAUGUUACAUUACAUUAGGUAACAUCAGUGUAGAAGGGACUGGGUUUACUCUAUGUCUAUAAGUCACCCGCCCUGUCAGUGUUGGUGGGAGUGUGGUUUUCUUCUUGG